AUGUAAUGUCAUUCCUACAACAUUAAUGUAUCAUAUCCCAUUAGAACUCCAUAGUUAAGUGUGCUUGGGAUAGAGUAAUAUUGGGAUGGGUGAUCUCCAGGGAACUCCUAGUGUUUUACAUG
rfam:Picea glauca, whole genome shotgun sequence.